AGCCUUUCAUGGUAUAAUUAAAACCACGAAGAUGAAGAGCAGCAAGCAGGCCCGACAAUUUGCAGAACAUUCUUUUUAUCUGAAAAGCAGCGAACUGACACUCUGAGCAAGCACUGAUUGGAGAUAGCUCAUAAGAAUGGAUGCAGUGAAGGUUUCAGCAGGGGCUGUCUGAUUUCUUGAACUGUCGAUCCGAAGACCUGAGGAGAAGCAGUAUAUAAAUAAAACAGUGGGAAAAUUCACCAGAAAAUAAGACUGGACCUUAAAUCUCUCGGCUUAAAUCCAAUUAAUUGGUUGGAUUUGAAGGAAUUUGCAUAUGUAUCUGUUGUUGACAUAGAGAUUUGAUCCAAAAGUACUGUAUGACCUGUGGAAACCUCUGCACCAAAUGACAGAUCUACAGCUGCAGCUCCUGGUUAUAGCUAUUUUGCAUUCCGAGCCUGGAACUUGUUCUCAGGUAAUGUGUUAUUCUUGUCAUUUCACCAGUUCUGUGAAUUUGUAUUGCAUCAGUUAGGAAACCUGGAAAGUUAUACAAUAUAAUCAAGCACUAAAAUGUAACACUUGAGUGAUAAUUUUAAUAUGAGGAACCCACUCUAAUUUCUGAUAGCUUUAUUUGAUUUGAAUUCCUUUGAAUAAUAAAGAGAUGAAACACAGGUCUCUGGGCUAGCUUUUUGAUUUGAGAAGCCAGUGUGAGAAAUGGCAGUGCUUAUUUAAUUCUCCCAAUAAUUUAUUUUCAAAUACUUUUAAAUAGUUUUUUGUGUAUCAUAGUGAAAGAUUGGAAGAUUCUCUGUUUUACUCACUGAGACAGAUUCUUAGUAAGACAAAUCAUGGUUUUCAGUGGAAAAACAUCCAGAGACCUUGAAAUUUCACUAAUAUACUGCAAAAAAAUUUAAAAUAACCAGUGACUUUAUGUCCUUUGCCAUUAUCACUUUGAACUAUUCACUACCAUAAAGUGCUUGUUCUGCUUAUUCUUGUGCCAAAGCUCACAUAUAGGGGAUGACUUGUCCUUAUCCUCAUUAGCUUCUCUCUCUAGAGUUUGGAGGUGCCAACAGCUAUUUUUGAACAGAAGUCAGUAAGACUGCUA